rnacentral:rRNA from 1 species
AGCCGCCGCGGUAAUACCGGCGGCUCGAGUGGUGGUCCACUUUAUUGGGCUUAAAGCGUUCGUAGCUGGGUCGUUAAGUCUCUUGGGAAAUCCGGCAGCUUAACUGUCGGGCGUCUAAGAGAUACUGGCGAUCUUGGAACCGGGAGAGGUGAGGGGGUACUUCGGGGGUAGGAGUGAAAUCCUGUAAUCCUCGAGGGACCACCUGUGGCGAAGGCGCCUCACCAGAACGGCUUCGACAGUGAGGGACGAAAGCUGGGGGAGCAAACCGGAUUAGGUACCCGGGUAGUCCCAGCCGUAAACGAUGUGCGUUAGGUGUAUCGACGACCACGAGUCGUCGAGGUGCCGAAGGAAACCGUGAAACGUACCGCCUGGGAAGUACGGUCGCAAGGCUGAAACUUAAAGGAAUUGGCGGGGGAGCACCACAACAGGUGGAGCCUGCGGUUUUAAAUUGGACUCAACGCCGGGAAGCUCACCGGAUAAGACAGCUGAAUGAUUGCCGGGCUGAAGACUCUGCAUGACUAGCUGAGAAGAGGUGCAUGG